CUACGGGACGCUCCAGUGGGGAAUAUUGCACAAUGGGCGAAAGCCUGAUGCAGCGACGCCGCGUGCGGGAAGAAGGCCUUCGGGUUGUAAACCGCUUUCAAUUGGGAAGAAGAGAUGAGCGCUAAUAUCGCUCUGAUUUGACGGUACCUUUAGAAGAAGCACCGGCUAAUUUCGUGCCAGCAGCCGCGGUAAUACGAAAGGUGCAAGCGUUGUUCGGAUUUACUGGGCGUAAAGAGAUCGUAGGUGGUUUGUUAAGUCGGGUGUGAAAUCCCAGGGCUCAACCCUGGAACUGCACUCGAUACUGGCAGACUAGAGUUCGGGAGGGGUAAGCGGAAUUCCGUGUGUAGCAGUGAAAUGCGUAGAUAUACGGAGGAACACCUGAGGCGAAGGCGGCUUACUGGACCGAUACUGACACUGAGGAUCGAAAGCGUGGGUAGCAAACAGGAUUAGAUACCCUAGUAGUC
rnacentral:rRNA from 1 species